GGCCGGAGAGACAUAAUCUAAAUUGAAUUCAUAUUCAAUUCAAAAAGAACAUUUGGAAAAGGUCAAAGGGUUUCUGAAGUCACUGUGUAUAUUUGAGCAAUUACAUUUACGCUUGAUACAUAAGUAUAUUUAAUUAAAAACAAACAAUUUUACUCAAGUAGUACCAAAUGUAAUCAAAAAUACAAUCUAUCUAAUUCCUAAAAGUUAGUAUUUAUCAUCAGAGGCCAUGAGCAAUAACUAGUAAUGCUGCACACUCAAAGAAAGCUUAAAAUCUCAACUUUCUGGUCAAAUUUGUUAUUAAUUGCUGAGGUGUUGUAACUUCUGAGGACACAGGCUCUAGCACUCAGUACAAAUAUUUUAAAUAUUAGAUAUAACUAAACUGGAUGAAUAAGGCUUGAAAUGACUCAUAAGCUUUAUAAAUAUUGUCUAUUCAAAUUAUAAAACGACUAAGUAUAGGAUUUAACCUUCCUUAUGAGUGUAAAUACAUAUUUGUAUGUUGUUUUAUCUAUUCCCUAUUUUCUAAAGGUCUUGAUCAAAGCCCCCAUCACUGUGAAUGUCUCACAGAGCUCUAGCUUGGCUUCCUGAACUCGUUACGAACUCGUCAUUCUUAUCAUACUACUUUUGCCUAUGACAAAUAGAAAGUGUUUUCUGUUUAAAAGCCAGGAAUUAUUUGAGAUGAAAGGGUGCUCUGAAUGUGCUACAGUGAUGAAACCACUUUCCCCUGCAGCGCUGUAAGGAUUGCAGAAAUGUGCUUUGUCAGGGUUCAGCCAUGAGUUGAUGGACAGUCGGAAGAAAGAAUACAAUGGUAGGCGUGCCAUCCCAGCUUUAAGUGGAUUCAGAUUUCACAUCCUGUCACACAGGCUCAGAAAAUAUAUUACUGUGUCCGUGGGAACCACCCUUUCGCUCAAUUUAAUCCAUUUCGAUCUUCAAUCUACACUACACCUCACUACACUACACCUCACUACACUACACCUCACUACACUACACUACACUUCACUACACUACAGCACAGCCCAUGAUUACAGUGGUGUCCUGCUCCACAGACUCCUAUUUGUGACCCACCACUCCACCGGGCAGUCAGAGACCCUGAAGAACCCAGGACAGCACGGCUGUUACCUCACUAUGGCCCUCCUCUCCACCGGGCAGUCAGAGACCCUGAAGAACCCAGGACAGCACGGCUGUUACCUCACUAUGGCCCUCCUCUCCACCGGGCAGUCAGAGACCCUGAAGAACCCAGGACAGCACGGCUGUUACCUCAC
rnacentral:lncRNA from 13 species